rnacentral:rRNA from 1 species
CCUACGGGCGGCUGCAGUGGGGAAUAUUGCACAAUGGGGGAAACCCUGAUGCAGCCAUGCCGCGUGUGUGAAGAAGGCCUUCGGGUUGUAAAGCACUUUCAGCGAGGAGGAAAGGGGGAUAGCUAAUACCUAUUCUCUGUGACGUUACUCGCAGAAGAAGCACCGGCUAACUCCGUGCCAGCAGCCGCGGUAAUACGGAGGGUGCAAGCGUUAAUCGGAAUUACUGGGCGUAAAGCGCACGCAGGCGGUCAGAUAAGUCAGAUGUGAAAGCCCCGGGCUCAACCUGGGAACUGCAUUUGAAACUGUCUGACUAGAGUCUUGUAGAGGGGGGUAGAAUUCCAGGUGUAGCGGUGAAAUGCGUAGAGAUCUGGAGGAAUACCGGUGGCGAAGGCGGCCCCCUGGACAAAGACUGACGCUCAGGUGCGAAAGCGUGGGGAGCAAACAGGAUUAGAUACCCUAGUAGUC